AAGCUCGUAGUUGAAUUUCGGGCAUUGCGGUCAGGUCUUCCUUAACUGGUGUACUUGAUUCGCUCUGUCUUACUUUCUAGAAGCAUAUGUGUUGAAAGACACAUACCGUCUCUAGGACUUUUACUGUGAAUAAAUUAGAGUGUUCAAAGCAGGCUUACGCUUGAAUACAUUAGCAUGGAAUAAUAAAAUAGGACUUUGGUUUUAUUUUGUUGGUUUUAACAACCAAGGUAAUGAUUAAUAGGGAUAGUUGGG
rnacentral:rRNA from 1 species